UGAAAUUCUAUGUGCUCUGUUUGAGGCCAGCUGGGGAGAAAGGAAAGAGGAAAGGAAGUCUGAACUACACACCCCAAUGCCAGCACACCAGCAGUAAAUGGUGCUUCCCGUCCACCAAGGAUGACUCUUCCUAUCAGAAUCACCGUGUUUGCAGUCCAUCCGGAGGACAGUUCCUGAGCUCCUAACGAGGCACCCUCGGUGAAGCGACUCCGAGUCCUGACACUGUUCUUUUCCUUUAGACAGUGAUAUACUGAGGCCAAAUCUCUGUACUUCAUAUCCAUCGAAGGGUACAGGGAAAUGUCAAAGUUUACUGACACCUUCUUGACUAAUAUCAGGAUCACCUACAUCCAAAACCAGAACAUCACUUUGUAAAGAAAAAGAUUUUUUAAAAAAUGAUCCUCUUAAAAAACAGGUGUAAAAAAUGAUUUAAAUAUUCAGUAACUAAGUGUACAGGAUGUGCAAAAUAAAG
rnacentral:lncRNA from 1 species